CCUGUCCUGUCUCACAGACAGACCUGCUGCUUCUGACCCUUAAAUUCCCUCAUCUUGGUCUCCAACUCUACAGUUUACACAUGAAGACCACUCAUCAAUACAUCAGCUGGGAGGGAGUGAUUUCCAAUAGUGAAAGAGCACGGUGCUUCUGGCUUUGAAGGCGAUGGCAAGCACAGGUAUUUUUUUCAAAAAAAGAGAUACAUGUAAAGAUGUUAAAAGCUAGAAAAAAAUACCGCAAGAAUCUUCUCAACCCAUGCACCUUUCUUUCUUCUGCUAGAGGACCAGAAGAUAACACUGGAAGUUGUUCCUCAGAAGCAUGUUUCCCAGGUGGAGAUUCUCAAUGCUACCUCUCCAUCUCUCUCCACUUUGACCUCAUUACCUCCUGUCUGGGAUGCUCUCUCCACCUCAUGCCUGGCCUUGCCCUUACUUAUAUCAGCCUCUGUGGAAAAGAAUAGAGGUGAAAAAUCCACAUAUCAAAGAGGCUAAUGAACCCCUUCAAAACUGCACAGCCAACAAGAAGCAGGAUCUGAUCUCCAGCUGUAUUUGCCUAAUGUACUAGAACUCCACAUUCCUAGAUUUCUACCUCUCAGCUGCCCUCCCUCCCUUCUUCCUUCCCUCCCUCCCUUUAGUAUGCGUGUGUGAUUGUGUGCACAUGCACAUGAAGGUACACAUGACUAUACACAUGUAUAUGGAGGCCAGAGGAAAAUAUCCAGUGGCCUGCUCCAUCAGUCUCUGCCAUAUUCUUCUGAGGCAGGUCCACCAACUGAUCUUUGUGCAAACAGUAGUCACUGAGGAUGUGCCUGUGUCUGCUCUGCACAGUACUGGGGAUAUGAGCAGGCCUGGCCAAGUUCAGCUUGCUUUAUAUGAGUACUGAGGACCCAAACUCAGCCACUCAUGAAUAAGCAUUCUUACCUACUAAACUGUCUCUCCAAACCUCAUAUUUCAUUUUAUUAUGGAGAGUACAAAUGUUAUUAUCAAUGGAGUCACAUGUCUCUGGAUCUAUCUGUGGACUCAUCUGUGUACAUUCAAUCAUACCUGUGCACGAGUGCGUGCACACACACACACACACCAUUGUAAACACUGCUUGUGGAUGUUGAUCUUCACAGUACAGGUAGUCAUGAUGGGUUCCAAUCAACAUGGACAUUGUCUGAGGCUGAAAUGGUAAGGUAGAAUUAUUACUUUAUAAUAAACAUAGUUCAUCAAUAGUCA
rnacentral:lncRNA from 1 species